AUGAUUUGAUUUCCACAUAAAGUAACAAGUAACUUUUCAAAUUUUCAUAUCUACUUUUUCUUGUUCUCUAUAGUUUCCUUUGAAGGGGAAAACAAAAGGAAAGAUUAUAAAUUAUUAUAGGGAAGUUUGUUCUGAGUUUAUUGUCUGUAGCUUAAUUUUAUAGAUGCUGGACCAGGUCCUUACCCAGUUGCCCCACCUAUGUGUGAUCCAAUGCAACAUGGUCAGACUCAGCCAUACCCUCCAAUUGUACCUCCUCAAGGGGAAACUAGGUCUCAAAUUUUAACUCCUUCAAGUGAAACCAAGUUCAGAGGUGAUGGAUUUUGCAGAGGAUUUUGCGCUGGCUUGUGUUGCUACUGCUGCCUAGAUAUCUGCUUCUAAGAAUGGAGGGACCUCGGAAAGGGCACUUCUAGUUUCUCUGACACAAGUUAUCUUCUAGGUUUCCAUAAACAUGCAGUAGGUUUCUCUGUAAACUACAGUUACCAUCUGAUUUUAGGUUCUGUAUGUGAAGUUUUCUAUGCCCUAUGUUGUUUUGUACAAUAUUACAAUCAGAGUAAGAGAAAUGAACAAAUCCUAAAAAAGAUCACUGUUUUUUCAA